AAAAAUAAAAUAAAAUAAAAUAAAAUGAAAUUGAGAUAGAGAGAGGUUCAGGUCUUCCUCGUAAAACCCAAGAACAAAACCUCAACAACUCCUGCACCAGAAGACCCUUAUUUUCUAAGAAUGUGAUAAAGGCGUUCUAAGAAAUCCACCCCAAACCCAGAAGCUUUUGAAGCAUUCAACAAAGGAGUCAACCCCUAAGGCAUAAAGCUUUUCAAGCUUUAAUGGCGUCUUCUCAGGUUCAUGAGAUUUGUCAGUGAUGAAACCUGGGUUUUUAUGGAUUAAUGAGUUUUUUCCAAGAACUUGCAGCGAAGAAGUGAGAACCUGAAGUAUUAUGCUAAUCUCUCAUAUUGGUUUUUACCGUUGAGAUAAAAUGAAUACUGAAAUCACACUUUGGAUGGAACUGAGAUAGGUUUAAUGGGUUUUUAUAAGAGAAAUCGUAGUAAAGAUGUGGGUUUUAAGCGUCUACUUCCCUUGAUCCUUUGUGUGCUUUUGGGGGUUCUGGGAUUGAUUGUUUUCAUAAGGAGAGAUACAUUUUCAAAACUUUCGACAUGGAUAUCUGAUGAUAUAUAUCAAGUUUAUAUUCCAGAACGAAAAGAUGGUCAAAUUUUGAGUUUACCAAAACCCAAUUUACCAGCCCAAAGCAAGCAUUCUGAAUCACUGGAACUGAGGAAUAGCUUGCCUCCUAAGAACAUAGAUCUUUUCCCUAGCUUGCCAAACGAUCAUGUUAAAAUUGUUCUCUACGUUCACAAUAGGCCUCAGUAUCUCAAGGUAGUUAUAAAAAGCCUUUCGAAGGUUGUGGGUAUCAGUGAAACACUAUUGAUAGUCAGCCAUGAUGGGUACUUCGAAGAAAUGAAUAAAAUUGUUGAGAGUAUCAAGUUUUGUCAAGUGAAACAGAUUUUUGCACCCUAUUCACCCCACCUAUUCCCGAAUUCAUUCCCUGGCAUGUCUCUUAAUGACUGCCAAAAGAGGGAUGAUCCUUUAGAGAAGAGCUGUACAGGGAAUGCCGAUCAAUAUGGGAAUCAUAGAUCACCUAGGAUUGUAUCUCUGAAGCAUCACUGGUGGUGGAUGAUGAACACUGUGUGGGAUGGUUUAGAGGAGACCAAGCACCACUCUGGUCACAUUUUGUUCAUUGAAGAAGACCACUAUAUUUUACCUAAUGCAUAUAGAAAUAUCCAGAUUUUGAUUCAGUUGAAGGCUCAUAAGUGUCCGAAUUGCUAUGCUGCGAAUUUGGCUCCAUCUGAUGUGAAUUUGAAGGGCGAAGGUUGGGAGAGCUUGGUAGCUGAGAAGAUUGGCAAUGUGGGUUAUGCUUUUAAUAGAACUGUUUGGACCAAGAUUCAUUCUAGAGCUCAAGAGUUCUGUUUUUUUGAUGAUUAUAAUUGGGAUAUAACUAUGUGGGCUACUGUUUAUCCCUCUUUUGGCUCCCCAGUUCACACUUUAAGAGGCCCCAGAAGAAGUGCGGCUCAUUUUGGUAAGUGUGGAUUGCAUCAAGGUCAGGGGACAAAGAAUGUGUGUAUUGACAAUGGGUCAGUUGGUUUUGAUGUUGAGGAGCAAGACAAAUUUCCAAACAUAAAUGUGGAAUGGGGGGUACAUGAAAUUCAGAACCAAGGGGGCUAUCAAGCUGGAUUCAAAGGCUGGGGAGGUUGGGGUGAUGAGAGGGAUCGCCAGUUGUGCUUAGCAUUUGCUUCGAUGUAUCGUAACAUGGGUUCUUCUUCAAGUGACUAAGGAGUUGAAUCAUUGCCUAUCGAGGGUAUGCGUUUGGGUCCUGCUACAUUACCAGCAAAUAGCAGCUGAUAUAUGGUCCUCAAGAAAGUGCAUGCAUUCUGCGGUAUUCGGCUUGAAAUAGAUACAAUUGAGACAACAAAUAUAUUUCCACGAGAAAUUAAGUGUCAAGGGGAUGUGUUAUGUUCCUAAUGGUGAGCUCUUCCGUAAACCUCCCGCCCUUUUGAAGGAAUGGACGUUGUUGGCAUCCUUAAAUGACAUUUUCCAGGUCUCAAGGAGAUGCCCAGUGUGUGACACAUUUAAAAUAACAAAAAACAGAGGCAGCAUGUUGCAUAUCUCAAGGAUCUAUUCAAGAAAAUCGCCUCUCCUUCAUGGCAUUGCUGAUUCUUGUUUUUCUCCUCUGAUCACAUGUGGUGAGAUUCAUGUUCCAUCAUUAGAGCUUUAUACUAGUAGAAUACUCUUGGAUCCAGAAAGUACGAGUCUUUCUUUUAGUUGUAAGUUUAAGUUGCUCAGAAAAGAGCUUCUCAUUGUGACGUGCAAGUUGCAAUAUCAAUGGUGAUGCCACCUAUUCUAGAAGGACCACAGCAACCAUUAAACUUACCAACCACGGUAAGUUUCAGAGGACCUUAUUCUCCACUGAACCUUGGGCUUAGUCUCAAGAUUUUCGUUGGUGAUACUGAUCUCCAGUUUCAAAACCGAGUCUUCCUCCUGUAUUCCAAGAAUGUUUCCCACUUAAUGUCAAAGAAGUGAAGAAAACUGUGAUGCAUUUUAUACCUGAAAGUUCCUCAAUACUAUGAUAAUAAUAGCCUUAAAAAAUUGUGUUAUUUGUUGCAUUAGUUUCCAAAAGUGUGCAAGUGCAUAAAUCUUCAAAUUUUGAUGUCUCCAAGAAAAGAGCAGUCAACUAAUAGUCAGCCGCAUAGAACAACCACAGCUGUUGACGUCCGAUAGAAUAAACCAAAGGAACCUGCAAAAUUACUUUAGAUCCUAUUCUAGAAGUUUCAAUGCAAUAAAGUUUUGUUGAAACUGUAAGGUGUCUCUCGUUUCCGUUCCAUGAAAUCCUCCUGAGUGGACCCAUCAAUCAGCUAAGAAUUCCAUAAUCUCCUUCUCCUAAAGAUUCCAGUUGUGGCAGUAACCUUCUUUUUUUUCCUUUGUUUUUUUUGGGUAUUUCAAAUGUAGGAGUAGAAAUUGGGAUAUAAUGUUAGAUCAUCAACACCUAUAAUCAAUCAAGCCCAUGCCUGAUUCCUAAACAUUGUAAACAAGGACGAUGGCCAUACUUAACCUUGGCCAUACUUAGCCUUAAGGACUACCAUAUGAGAGUCCAGUUUCCUCGUCAAAUAUCUGAUUUCCCUACUUUAAGAGCUUUUUCACAUUCUUAAUCCUCCAAAUGCCAGACUUCCCUACCCCCUUUAGUCUGCAGUCAUUCCAUUCUAUAAUGCUAAAUUUGUGCGCCACACUGUUACCCCUCCGUAGGACAUUCCUCUUAAAUUAUUUUAAUCUUCUUUUCCAUCCCAUCAAGGACUUGGUUACUGAUGCUGUGAAGGAGAAAGAAAAAUAAAAUAAAUCUGAAAAUGAGAAAAUUGUUCGUGAGAGAUUGUACUAUCUCUCUGGGUCUACAAGGGAGUCUACCCAAAAAGAUCAAUGCGCAAGUCUUAAAAUCAAUGUCUUUUUUUCUUUGCUUUCUUUUUUUUACUUGUCUAACAAGGGCGUAUUUGUAAAAAACCCUAAACCACAACUAAAUCCUCGCCUUUUCUAUUUAAAAUUAAACUAUUUAAAAUUAAACUUCGAACUCUGCCCCUCUCUCUACAACUGAAAAAGACACAAAUACCCUUAAGUAAAUAAAAGAUCACAUGAUCUCGGUCUCCUAAAAGAAAAAGUAAACAAACCAGAGGAACCUUAUUGUAUCAGUAACACAGAUAAGGUACUCCUACAAGGUGGCCUUAAUUAGGGAAACCUUAGGAGCAAGAGUAGAUAUGGGAUUUCCAGGCCGCGAAGAUCCUCUCCCGUUCUCUAUGAUGUCACACAAUCUUCAACCAUGUUAAUCUUCACAUAUGGUGAGGCUGAAGUUGUUGUGGGCACCUUAUACCUAAAUCUUUUCAUUGCCUCCACAGAGUGGCACUCUUCUCCCUUUAUUCUUUACCUUUAAAGUCUGAUCAAGAUAUAUCCUAUUGUGAUCACAUCAUGGCAAAUGAAACACCAUCCUGAAAUUACCGGCAAGCAUCACAAGGUAGCUCCGACAAAGUGGAGCUGUGAGGUCAUUGGUGCCUUUAUUUCUUCCCUAAAAUUCUCUACAAGCUUGGUGCUAACCUGCUCAUCGAUCAGACGAUAUUGAUUUUUUUCAAAGAUGGGUUGAAUAUUGUUUGUGAGACAAUUGGGAGGUUCUAAAAUAUUGACCUACCUCCCUUGGGGUUUGAAAAUAUUUGGCUUCCUAAGAUGAGGUAUUCAGAAUAUUUGGAAUAUCUUAGGAAUAUUUAGAGACUAUUUGGUUUCCUAAGUUUUGGGAUAUAUAAGGAUAUACGGUUUCUUACAAUGAGAUAUGUAU